ACUCAAAUGAAUAGACGGGGGCCCGCACAAGCAGCGGAGCGUGUGGUUUAAUUCGACGCAACGCGCAGAACCUUACCCAGACUUGACAUGCGACUGCAAGCUCCUGAAAGGGAGCCGCCCUUGAGGGUGUCGCACAGGUGCUGCAUGGCUGUCGUCAGCUCGUGUCGUGAGAUGUUGGGUUAAGUCCCGCAACGAGCGCAACCCCCACGGCCAGUUAUAUCUGUCUGGCCGGACUGCCCGUUUGGGAGGAAGGUGGGGAUGAUGUCAAGUCCGCAUGGCCCUUACGUCUGGGGCGACACACACGCUACAAUGGCGCCGACACUGCGCCGCCACUCGGCAACGAGGAGCGAAUCGUAUAAACGGCGUCCCAGUGCAGAUCGGGGGCUGAAACUCGCCCCCGUGAAGGCGGAGUUGCUAGUAACCGCGCAUCAGCCACGGCGCGGUGAAUACGUACCCGGGCCUUGUACACACCGCCCGU
rnacentral:rRNA from 1 species